rnacentral:rRNA from 1 species
UACGUAGGGGCAAGCGUUGUCCGGAUUUACUGGGCGUAAAGGGAGCGUAGGCGGACUUUUAAGUGAGAUGUGAAAUACCCGGGCUCAACUUGGGUGCUGCAUUUCAAACUGGAAGUCUAGAGUGCAGGAGAGGAGAAUGGAAUUCCUAGUGUAGCGGUGAAAUGCGUAGAGAUUAGGAAGAACACCAGUGGCGAAGGCGAUUCUCUGGACUGUAACUGACGCUGAGGCUCGAAAGCGUGGGGAGCAAACAGGAUUAGAUACCCUGGUA